AUUGAACGCUGGCGGCAGGCCUAACACAUGCAAGUCGAACGGCUCGGCGGACGGGUGCGUAAUACCUAGGUAUCUGCCAGUUCCUGGGGGAUAACGUCCGGUAACGGGCACUAAUACCGCAUCCUAUCACCUUAACAUAGGUCGGAUUAGCUAGUUGGUGGGGUAAGGGCCUACCAGGGCGACGAUCCGUAACUGGUCUGAGAGGAUGAUCAGCCACACUGGAACUGAGACACGGUCCAGACUCCUACGGGAGGCAGCAGUGGGGAAUAUUGGACAAUGGGCGAAAGCCUGAUCCAGCCAUGCCGCGUGUGUGAAGAAGGUCUUCGGAUUGUAAAGCACUUUAAGCUGGGAGGCGUUACCAGCAGAAGAAGCACCGGCUAACUUCGUGCCAGCAGCCGCGGUAAUAC
rnacentral:rRNA from 1 species